rnacentral:sRNA from 21 species
CACAACUACCCAAAACUAAGCAUUUUGGGUAGGUGGGGUGAGCGUGCAGACUCAGCCGUAAAAAAGAGUAACCUACCAUCUGGCAAGGUUGGCUACGCUUUUUUGGUCAUGACACCCAAGAAUGAACGCUAGUUUUUGGCACUGUC